AAAAGCUCGUAGUUGGAUUUCUGGUACAACGCGCCUGGCCCGCUUUUAGUGAGUGCCGGUGCGCGUUUGCCAUCCUUCUAGAAAACGUUUCUACCUGGGCAACCGGGCCGGACUCGCGAUCUAGAUCUUUUACUUUGAAAAAAUUAGAGUGUUUAAAGCAGGCUUUUGCUGUGAAUACAUUAGCAUGGAAUAAUAAUCUAGGACUUCGGUUCUAUUUUGUUGGUUUCUAGUACUGAAGUAAUGAUUGAUAGGGAUAGUUGGGGGUGCUAUUAUUGGCCGGCCAGAGGUGAAAUUCUUGGAUUCGGUCAAGACUAACUUAUGCGAAAGCAUUCACCAAGGAUGUCUUCUUUAAUCAAGAACGAAAGUUGGGGGAUCGAAAACGAUCAGAUACCGUCGUAGUCUCAACCAUAAACUAUGCCAACUAGGGAUGGGUGAACGUUGUUUUUUUGACUUCAUCUGCACCUUAUGAGAAAUCAAAGUCUUUGGGUUCCGGGGGGAGUAUGGUCGCAAGGCUGAAAC
rnacentral:rRNA from 1 species